rnacentral:rRNA from 1 species
UACAGAGGUCCCGAGCGUUGUUCGGAUUCACUGGGCGUAAAGGGUGCGUAGGUGGCAUAGAAAGUUUGAUGUGAAGGCUCAGGGCUUAACCCUGAAAUGGCAUUGAAUACUGCUGUGCUGGAGGUUUGGAGGGGGGACUGGAAUUCUUGGUGUAGCAGUGAAAUGCGUAGAUAUCAAGAGGAACACCAGUGGCGAAGGCGAGUCCCUGGACAACACCUGACACUGAGGCACGAAAGCUAGGGGAGCAAACAGG